UAUUUUACAUUAUACAAACACAUUGUACCUCCUUCACACCUCAUCAUUUUAUUUAUUUAAAAUUCUAAUGGUAAUACAUCGGAGCAUGGUAUAUUCUAUGCACAUGUUUCACUGGUUUGACUAAGUUUAUGAGUUUAUAAUGAGAUUUUUUUGAAACUUACAUGUUCCAUACUACAAAUAGGUAUUUAGCUCAAUUACAUGUAACUUUUCCUCUCAAAUAAGACUAAUCUCCUGUGACUAUUAGUUAAUAUGAUCUUUUUAGUGCUAGACUAUAGGUAUAAACAUUGUUGUACUGGGUUAAGUAGAUGAAUCAUGAUGCAUAAAUUCUGUUUUUUAUAGGAAAAUUCCGUUCUGGUUUGAAUAAUUUCUUCCACACUUUUCUAUUUAUCCAUUAAGGAAAUUUCUACAAAGAUGCUGUAGAAAUUACAGAAAUACAAUCUGUACAAAAAAGAACUAAAUGAAAGAAAGAAAAGGGAGGUACAAUAUAACCAUUAUUCUUUUCCUAAUAUACUAAAUCAAUAUUUUCUAAAAUUAGUGCGAGUCAAAUCUUCCAAUAGAAUCAAAUCUUUUAACACUCCCCUGUAGCUGGUAAUAUAUGGCUAAUCAUUUCCAACUUGUGUAUUAAUGAUUCAAAAUUUGGUUCCAGUAUAACUUUGGUCAAAAUGUUUGUUACUUAUGCUAUAGAUGGAAUGUAUGUUAGUUUGAUUCUUACUUUUUCAAUUUUUCUCUUGAUAAAAUUUAUGUCCAUUCUUACUUGCUUCAUUUCAUCAUACUAAACUGAGUUAUGCACUAUAUUAAUAGCAGAUUUCCUAGCACUAUAGAGAACAAUAGGAUUGUUCUCAGAUAGCUAUAAGUCCUCAAGGAUUCUUUGAACCAUAUCAACUCAAAAUUUUUUGAGCAAUUGCCCUAAAUUGAGCCUUAAGACUAUGUUGGGCAACCAGGGACUGCUUUUUGCUUCACCAAGCUACUAAAUUACCCCAUAGUUUUGUACAAAAACUUGAGGUGGAGCGGCUAUCUUGUUGUGAACUAGCCCAAUUUGCGUUAACAAAGCCAACUAUCUCUUUGUUCUCACUCUUUUGAAACUGCAAUCCCUUCUCAUAAGUCCCUUUUAAGUAUUUUAGAAUAUGCAUGGCUGCAUUAAAGUGUGUUUGAGUAAGAGAAUGUAUAUAUUGGUUUGCCACACUAACGAAAUAAGCAAGAUUGGGUUGAGUAAGAGAUAAAUUGAUUAACUUUCCUAUCAACCUUUGGUAUCUCCCUUUUUCUACUGGAGCAACAUCUUUUUUACACUUUCAAUUUCUGCCCAAAGGUAUUUUUGUUGGUUUACUCCCUAACAUUCUUAUUUCUCUUAGGAGUCAAGAGUAUAUUUCUUUUGAGAAAUAAAGAUCCCUUCUUUGCUCCUUGAUAUCUCCAUUCCGAGAAAGUAUCUCAUAGAACAUAGGUUUUAAACUUUGAAUUCUAUCUUCAAAUAUUUUUUGAGGUUCAUUAUCUCUGUAUUGUCGUCACCUAUAAUUAUGAUAUCAUCUACAUAGACGAUUAAUACAAAUAUCUUAGUACUAUAAUUAGUUUUUAUAAAUCUUUUGAACCAUGUUCUUGGUGAUUGUUCUCGACCAAAUGGUGUUUUCUUUAGUUUUGUAAAGUCUCCCAAUUUUGUCUUUUUCUUCAAAUCUUGGUGGUAUACUUAUUAAUGUUUCAUUAAGAUCACCAUUCAAGAAAACAUUUAUAAUAUCAAAUUUUAUGAUCUCCCAAUUAUGGCUUGUGUAAAUCCAUGUGCCACCAACCUUGCUUUGUACCAUUUAAUGUUGCCAUCAACUUUGUAUUUAACUGUGAAGACUCCUUUGCACCAUAUAGUCUUCUUAAUUUUAGGUAAAUCUAUCACAUCCUAUGUACUAUUGUCAAUUAAGGCUUUCAUUUCUUCAUGACUUGCUACACUCCACUUUGGAUUAUUCAAAGCUUCCUAAACAUCCCUUAUUAUAUUUACUCUAUCAACUACUUUAGGAAAUGCUCUAAAAUAGGUAGACAAUUGAAAAUAUGUAAUAAAAUUGGUAAGUGAGUGUUUAGUGCAUGAUUGCACCACUUUUUUUGGAGCCAUGGGAAGAUCCAAAUUGGCUGUUGUUAAUGGGUUCUCCUUAGGACUUUUCUCUGGUUUGGACGUUUGGCAAUGCUUAGGAACUAGCUUAGGUCUUUUGGAGUAAACUAUAAUUGAUUUCUCAAGAUCGAAUCUUGGCUUCUAAUCAAUCAUUUGUUUGGGUUUAGGUAUGGUUUCUAGUCACUCAAGUAAUAGUUCAAUUCCAGUUGUUAUGACUUUAGUUGGCGUAAGUGAAUGUUCAAUUCCAUUGGUUAAGUGUGUGAUAGAGGAUUCUUGACUUGGAAAGGUAAGAGAAAUCAAUAAUGAUAUUGUAGGAUCCUAAUGUGACUAUUCACUUGAUUUCUCACCCUGAAGAAGAGUAUUGGGUUAGUAGGGUUUUUCUUCAAUAAAAGAGACAUCUCAGGUGACAAAGAAUUUGCUGGUAGAUGGACAAUAGAAUUUGCAUUCUCAUUGGGUUGGUAAAUAUUCAUUAAAUAUACAUUUUAAUGCUUUACAUUGAAAAUGUAUGGCGAUGGUUAUUAUGGUUAUGGACAUAUGCACCCAAAUACUUUCGAUGGGAAAGAAUUUAGUAUUCAAAGAUAAGGGUAAUGGGUUAAAAUAACAUUUAGAGGAGUUCAAAAUUCAUGGACUUUUGAAGGUAAUCAAUUGAUUAGGUAAGAAGUUGUAAGGAUAGUGUCACCUUGACUGAAACGAGGGACAAAGCCAGAAAACAUCAUAAUACAGGUAGUUCAUAGUUGUUAAAAGUGAAAAGCACCUAAAAGCGAUGUGGGAUUGCAUUGCCUAAGCAAAAAAAGAGAAGCGAAAGCUUUGCUUUUGCACCAAAAGCGAUAAAAAAAUAAUAAUAAAAAUAAAAUAUAAUAAAGACUGAUCACUAAAAUUUCAGAGAAUAAUAUUAUAGAUGAAGUCUCAAAAGCACAAAUUGAUUUUUAUAUGAAAACAUGAAAGAAUGUUAAAACUCUUCAAUGUACAUAAAUUUUUAUCAAAUAUGUAUUUUAAUUGAAAUCAAAGUAUUUAUCUUCAUCAUUGAAUGUCACAUCUUAUUUUUUAUUAUCAAAAUUUUCAUCUCUGAUUUCAUCUAUUUCUUUAUCAAAACAUUCUUUUUCAUCUGAGGACUUGUAUUCUAAAACCUCCUUUUCCUUAGAUAUUGACUUAUGGUUAUAUUAAAAAAAAAAAAAAGAUUUUGGCCUUUUUUGCUGUGGGUUCAGCCCCACCAAUGCAAGGACUUGUAGUACCUCUUGUAACAUGAAUAGGUUUGUCAAGCUCACUAGCCCUAGCAACAUUUCCCCAUGUUAAAGAAUCAUCUUCAAACACCAAUUCAUCAUCACCAUCAAUGUCAUUUGCACCCUCCAUUUGCCCCAUCAGCCAUUCAUUACUUUCAUCAAUUGUAUUAAGCAAAAUUGGGUCUAUGCUAUCGAUAAUUGAAUGUUGACGUUACAAUACUCAAUUGUAUUUUGCAAAGACUAAAUUAUUUAAUCUUUGUUGUGCUAAUUUAUUUCUCUUCUUGUUAUGAACCUGUAUAUAUAUGAAAUACAUAUUGAUUAGUACACAUAUUAAAAAGUAAAUGAGAGUAGGAUAAUAUAUAUUGAAUGAUUAUGUAAGUAUAACUAAUUAAUACUUACAUGGUCAAACACAGCCCAAUUCCUUUUACAGCCAUAAGCAUUACAUGUGAGGUUAAAAAUUUUGACAACAAAUUUUUGCAAAUGUGGACAACUCGAUCCAUAAACAUUCCACCACUCAGCUGGUGAUUUUGUUUCUUUAUGUUUGACAACGAGAUUUAUCCCAAAUAAACCUCCACCUCUCCUAUACAAGGAUAACUCAUCACUGAUUUUAUCUUGCUCAUCCGUGGUUGGGACCAAUCUUUGCAAGCAUUUAUACAAACCAUUUAUGACCUUAGUAUCUACUUCCAUCCUAUCAGGGUUAGCGUAAUAGAAUUUGGGAUUUAAAUAAUACCUUGCUAUGUUCAAUGGGUGAUGAAGCUAGCAAUCCCAUCUACGAUUAGUCAUCUCAAGUACAUGUUCAUACUUAUGUUUUUCAUCUUCUUUGAAAGAUUUUAUAGUUGUUUCUUUAACCCUUACCAUAGCCUCAUAUAUAUAUCCCAUUGCAAUUUUUCUUUCACCAUCAACUAAAUGGAACACUCCAACAAGAGGACCAAAUAGCUUCAAAAUAUAAGGGAUAUUAUUUCAUAUUGUAGACUGGAUGACCAAUGAUGUAGUUCUUUUUCCAAUUGAUUCCUCUGCCCAUCUACUGUGUGUCCAUUCCUCUGAUGUAAAUAUUUUCCUCAAAUUAUUUUUCUGUUGAUAAAUGUGUUGCAAUGUCAAAAAUGUUAUUGCAAAUCUUGUAAUAGCUAACCUAAAUAACUCUUUAAUCCCUAUGAAUUGUCUCAUCAUAUAUUCCACGUCAGACUGAUUAUAGAUAUAUCCAUUGAGAGCAAUAGCUUUUUUCAUAGUUCUUGUAAUAACAGACAAUUUUCUAAUAUUAGAUUAAUGCAAUAUGUCACGCAAGGUGUGAAAUAUAAAUAAGUCCUCUUAGCUUGUAACAAUUUUCCUGAAAAACAAAUAAGAUAUUCAAAUUACAUGUAAAUUUCAAUAUAUGAGGAUUGAUUGGAAAAAAUAAACAAAAGUUCAAAAUUUAAACUCUUACCAACUAAUAUGUUGUUCGAUGCAUUGUCAAUUACAAAUUGAACUACAUGUUGUGCACCACUCUUCUCCACCACCGAAUCAAACAAUUCAAAUAAUUUCUCUUGUUUUUGCAUAUGCAAAAGCAUCAACAGACUCAAUGUAAUCCGCUAGGGGAAUUCACCAAAAAAAUUAUUAGAGUCCUAUGAGUUUUAUCUGUCCAUCCAUCACCAAAAAAAUAAUUGGGUGGUUUCAUCUCAACUUCAUGUUGCCAAAUUGACUUAAUCAUAGCCUUAAAAUUAGGAUAAUUCACGACAUUAAAAGCUAUGUCUGCAUCAUACAUCCACCUAGCAAUAUCUUGACAAACCUUUUCCCUUAAUUCCUUUUUGUAGGCUUCAUUUAUAGUAGAUUGUCUCAUCGCAUCUUUCUUUUUAUUUUGCCCUAUUUUGGUGGAGUUUUUAGCCAUAAGAGAUGAUAUCAUCUUCGUCAUCGUUAUCUCCCAAACGAUCAACAUCAUUUAUAUCAGUAAACAAGUUCAGUGUCUAGGCAACACCAAAUUUGGAAAUUUUCGGCAAUGACAGAUGUGAUGAAGAUAGGUCAACAAUAUCUGGUCAGAGAGUUUCCAACAUCAAUAGUCUGAUCAGCAGUUUUUGGGCCAAAUCUUAAAGGUUUCGGCAACG